AGCAGCCGCGGUAAUUCCAGCUCCAAUAGCGUAUAUUAAAGUUGUUGCAGUUAAAAAGCUCGUAGUUGAAUUUCGGGAUCAAUAUGUCUGUCGUGCCUUCGGUACGUACGGGUAUAAUUGGUUUCUACCUUCUGAUGAACCUUGAUGCCAUUAAUUUGGUGUCUUGGGGACUCAGGACUGUUACCUUGAAAAAAUUAGAGUGUUUAAAGCAGGCAUACGCUUGAAUACAUUAGCAUGGAAUAAUGAAAUAGGACGUUCGAUUCUAUUUUGUUGGUUUCUAGGAUCGACGUAAUGAUUAAUAGGGAUAGUUGGGGGCAUUAGUAUUCAAUUGUCAGAGGUGAAAUUCUUGGAUUUAUUGAAGACUAACUACUGCGAAAGCAUUUGCCAAGGAUGUUUUCAUUAAUCAAGAACGAAAGUUAGGGGAUCGAAGACGAUCAGAUACCGUCGUAGUCUUAACCAUAAACUAUGCCGACUAGGGAUCGGAUGAUGUUAAUUUUUAAUGACUCAUUCGGCGCCUUAA
rnacentral:rRNA from 1 species